rnacentral:ncRNA from 2 species
AGAAUAUUUUGGCAAACUUGUCGAAAGACAAGGACGCAAAGUUUGGAGUCUAAGGCAUUAAUUGCUAUGAUCGUUCAACUGCUGUG